ensembl:lncRNA
AUGGAAAAGAGGGAGGAGUGAAAGUAAAGGGGGAAGAAAAGAGGGAGGAGUGAAAGUAAAGGGAUGGAAAAAGAGGGGGAGUGAAAGUAAAGGGGAAGAAAAGAGGGAGGAGUGAAAGUAAAGGGAUGGAAAAGAGGGAGGAGUGAAAGUAAAGGGGAAGAAAAGAGGGAGGAGUGAAAGUAAAGGGAUGGAAAAGAGGGAGGAGUGAAAGUAAAGGGGAAGAAAAGAGGGAGGAGUGUAAGUAAAGGGAUGGAAAAGAGGGAGGAGUGAAAGUAAAGGGAUGGAAAAAGAGGGAGGAGUGAAAGUAAAGGGGAAGAAAAAGAGGGAGGAGUGAAAGUAAAGGGGAAGAAAAGAGGGAGGAGUGAAAGUAAAGGGAUGGAAAAAGAGGGAGGAGUGAAAGUAAAGGGGAAGAAAAAGAGGGAGGAGUGAAAGUAAAGGGAUGGAAAAAGAGGGAGGAGUGAAAGUAAAGGGAUGGAAAAGAGGGAGGAGUGAAAGUAAAGGGGAAGAAAAAGAGGGAGGAGUGAAAGUAAAGGGAUGGAAAAGAGGGAGGAGUGUAAGUAAAGGGGAAGAAAAGAGGGAGGAGUGAAAGUAAAGGGGAAGAAAAAAAGGGAGGAGUGAAAGUAAAGGGAUGGAAAAGAGGGAGGAGUGAAAGUAAAGGGGAAGAAAAAGGGAGGAGUGAAAGUAAAGGGAUGGAAAAGAGGGAGGAGUGAAAGUAAAGGGGAAGAAAAGAGGGAGGAGUGAAAGUAAAGGGAUGGAAAAGAGGGAGGAGUGAAGAAAAGAGGGGAACAUGUGAGAAUUGAUGUAUAGAGGUAUUGGGAAGGAUUGUUGGGCAUCAUUUCCAAGUUCCUUGAGUUCUACAGUUCUACGUACUCACUCUGGUGUUCAUUGUACUGAUCUGAAAAGGAACACAACUAGAAACACAAGUUGAAACACAACUAGAAGGCUACUAUAGUUCAACUCAAAAAUGCCUAAUGUGUUGGCUAGUUUUCAUUAUUUAGUUCUCAAC